AUUGAACGCUGGCGGCAGGCCUAACACAUGCAAGUCGAACGAGUGGCGGACGGGUGAGCAAUGGCUGGGAAACUGCCCGACGGAGGGGGAUAACUACUGGAAACGGUAGCUAAUACCGCAUACCAUCGGAUCUGCCCAGAUGGGAUUAGUGAGUAGGUGGGGUAACGGCUCACCUAGGCGACGAUCCCUAGCUGGUCUGAGAGGAUGACCAGCCACGCUGGAACUGAGCCACGGUCCGGACUCCUACGGGAGGCAGCAGUGGGGAAUGUUGCACAAUGGGCGCAAGCCUGGUGGAGCCAUGCCGCGUGUAUGAAGAAGGCCUUCGGGUUGUAAAGUGCUAUCGGCGAGGAGGCGUUACUCGCAGAAGAAGCACCGGCUAACUCCGUGCCAGCAGCCGCGGUAAUUC
rnacentral:rRNA from 1 species